GAUGAACGCUGGCGGCGUGCCUAAUACAUGCAAGUCGAGCGAACAGACGAGGAGCUUGCUCCUCUGACGUUAGCGGCGGACGGGUGAGUAACACGUGGAUAACCUACCUAUAAGACUGGGAUAACUUCGGGAAACCGGAGCUAAUACCGGAUAAUAUAUUGAACCGCAUGGUUCAAUAGUGAAAGACGGUUUUGCUGUCACUUAUAGGUGGAUCCGCGCCGCAUUAGCUAGUUGGUAAGGUAACGGCUUACCAAGGCAACGAUGCGUAGCCGACCCGAGAGGGUGAUCGGCCACACUGGAACUGAGACACGGUCCAGACUCCUACGGGAGGCAGCAGUAGGGAAUCUUCCGCAAUGGGCGAAAGCCUGACGGAGCAACGCCGCGUGAGUGAUGAAGGUCUUCGGAUCGUAAAACUCUGUUAUUAGGGAAGAACAAAUGUGUAAGUAACUAUGCACGUCUUGACGGUACCUAAUCAGAAAGCCACGGCUAACUACGUG
rnacentral:rRNA from 1 species